rnacentral:lncRNA from 1 species
CUUGUGUUUUAAAUGUCUUUGCUCUUUUAAUUUUUUAGUAAUUGAUAUUUGUUACACUUUUUUAAAAGUCUCAGUCCAAAACAGAAUGAAAAAAACCAAAACUGGUCCUUCACCACAGGUAGUUUGAGACACGCUGAUUUAAAAUAGCAGCUCGCAAUCCUGUCCUAACCUGCUUUAUUUUAAUUCAUGACUCUUACUAACACCUAACACAUUAUAUACCUACAACUAAUUGAUAAUUUGAUUAUUGCUCAUCUCUCUGACUAGAGUGUAGCUGAGUGAGGAUAGGGCCGUCCCAAGUCACCAUCAUACAAUAUUAGACAUCUCUGUUACCAAAUAUUUUCUCUUAAUUAGCACUGUUAGUAUAGCUCCGUGAUAGCAAUUGUUCUAAUUUUCAGAGACCUGGGAAUCCUGAUAAUGGAAAAUGUACCACCCAGAAAUAUUUCCUGAGGCCUGAGCAUACUCACAAAUAAUAGAAUGAGCCAUGGGACUGCUAUUUAAGAACAAGCUGCUGCCACAGCAAGGCCACUGACAGACAAGUGAUGUAGGUCUGCGCCCAGGAACCGAACUCAGGCUGCUGAAGAGGAACACGCUGAACUUAACCACUAGGCCACUGGGGCUGGCCCAGAAACAGAUUUUUUGAUUCAGAAGAACAUACCCGGGGUGCUUCAGAGGAAAAGGAAUCCAUGAGAAAUUCCUGGUUCGAAAAGGAAUUAUUAAUGACCUAACUAUGUAAGCAAGACAUCAGCCACCCACCCUAUGAUGACCAAGCUUGUGGCUCCUGGACCAGGUCCAGAAGGAUGAGGU